rnacentral:rRNA from 1 species
GUGGGGAAUAUUGGGCAAUGGGCGAAAGCCUGACCCAGCAACGCCGCGUGAAGGAAGAAGGUUUUCGGAUCGUAAACUUCUAUCCUUGGUGAAGAUAAUGACGGUAGCCAAGAAGGAAGCCCCGGCUAACUACGUGCCAGCAGCCGCGGUAAUACGUAGGGGGCAAGCGUUGUCCGGAAUGAUUGGGCGUAAAGGGCGCGUAGGCGGCCUGGUAAGUCUGGAGUGAAAGUCCUGCUUUUAAGGUGGGAAUUGCUUUGGAUACUGUCGGGCUUGAGUGCAGGAGAGGUAAGUGGAAUUCCCGGUGUAGCGGUGAAAUGCGUAGAGAUCGGGAGGAACACCAGUGGCGAAGGCGACUUACUGGACUGUAACUGACGCUGAGGCGCGAAAGUGUGGGGAGCAAACAGGAUUAGAUACCCGAGUAGUCC